UACGGGGGGGGCGAGCGUUGUCCGAAGUUACUGGGCGUAAAGCGCGUGUAAGCGGGUUGUUAAGUCCGCUGUGAAAGCCCGGUGCUCAACGCCGGAGGGUCGGUGGAUACUGGCAGUCUUGAAGUGGCUAGGGGGAAAUGGAAUUACCGGUGUAGCGGUGAAAUGCGUAGAUAUCGGUAGGAACACCAGUGGCGAAGGCGGUUUCCUGGAGCCCACUUGACGCUGAGACGCGAAAGCUGGGGGAGCAAACGGG
rnacentral:rRNA from 1 species